CCGGGGGACGCUGUCGUCGCUGCCGGGAGACACGACGCCGCUGCUGUCAGCAGCGUCGUCGGUCAGUCUCUCCCACUCCGUUGCCCCGAUCUACCCCGAAACAGCCCCGACGCCUCCGAUUCCAAACCGGUUCGUUAAAGGUUAUUGCAGAAGAAAUUGAUAUACCUUUGGAGAGGAGAAAUUGCCUAGCAGCAGAAGGAAUUGAAUUCACGGCAGUUUUGUAUUUUUUUAUCCUCAAACUGUGAUGUCAAGCAAGAAUUGUGGCAGGAGUCAGUAAAUUGCGAUUUUGUUAUCGCAGAAUUGAAUUUGAAGGGAUAAUACCUUUAGUUUGAUCGAGCAAUUGGAACGUAGAAGAUUUCUCUAUGUUACUUUCCUCCGAUUUUGAAUAUA